rnacentral:rRNA from 1 species
GAGGAAUAUUGGGCAAUGCCCGAAAGGGUGACCCAGCAACGCCGCGUGGAGGAUGAAGGUCGUAAGAUUGUAAACUCCUGUUAGAGGGGAAGAAUAACUAAGUUUGGAGCUUAGUAUGACUGUACCCUCAGAGAAAGCCCCGGCUAACUACGUGCCAGCAGCCGCGGUAAUACGAAGGAUGCAAGCGUUAUCCGGAAUUAUUGGGUUUAAAGGGUGCGUAGGCGGACUAAUAAGUCAGUGGUGAAAGCCUGCAGCUUAACUGCAGAAUUGCCAUUGAUACUGUUAGUCUUGAGUACAGUUGAGGUAGGCGGAAUGUGUCAUGUAGCGGUGAAAUGCUUAGAUAUGACACAGAACACCGAUUGCGAGGGCAGCUUGCUAAGCUGUAACUGACGCUGAGGCACGAAAGCGUGGGGAGCAAACA